rnacentral:rRNA from 1 species
UACGGAGGGUGCGAGCGUUGUCCGGAAUCACUGGGCGUAAAGGGUGCGUAGGCGGUUCAGUAAGUUGCUGGUGAAAUCCCGGGGCUCACCUCCGGAGCUGCCGGCAUGACUGCUGGACUUGAGCACGGUAGGGGCAGAUAGAAUUCCCGGUGUAGCGGUGGAAUGCGUAGAUAUCGGGAAGAAGACCAGGGGCGAAGGCGUUCUGCUGGGCCGUUGCUGACGCUGAGGCACGACAGCGUGGGGAGCAAACAGG